rnacentral:rRNA from 1 species
UAGGGAAUCUUCGGCAAUGGGGGCAACCCUGACCGAGCAACGCCGCGUGAGUGAAGAAGGUUUUCGGAUCGUAAAGCUCUGUUGUAAGAGAAGAACGUGUGUGAGAGUGGAAAGUUCACACAGUGACGGUAACUUACCAGAAAGGGACGGCUAACUACGUGCCAGCAGCCGCGGUAAUACGUAGGUCCCUAGCGUUGUCCGGCUUUAUUGGGCGUAAAGCGAGCGCAGGCGGUUUAAUAAGUCUGAAGUUAAAGGCAGUGGCUUAACCAUUGUUCGCUUUGGAAACUGUUAAACUUGAGUGCAGAAGGGGAGAGUGGAAUUCCAUGUGUAGCGGUGAAAUGCGUAGAUAUAUGGAGGAACACCGGUGGCGUAAGCGGCUCUCUGGUCUGUAACUGACGCUGAGGCUCGAAAGCGUGGGGAGCAAACAGG